GCACUUUUUUUCUUUUUUGCUUUUUUUUUGUUUUUUUGACAUUCGACGCCUUGUUUACGUUCAUCACCAAACCAGCGUGCGUUUGAAUCCGAAAAAGUGCAAUGAACAAAUGAGCAGCCCCGCUGUGGCUAACAACGUGUCAAUAGGGGCCGAAAACGCCGGCUAUCUCUGAUUCUGAAACGAGUGGAAAAGGCCCGGAUCCGGCUUCCACCGAUAGCCGGUCACUGUCGGCUUAGACUAUUGGUUAAAGGACAAAAGGACGGAGACGAUCGGAGUGUGAUGGACAAUCACAUCAGCGCUAUAUGCUCAGUGCAUCCAAAGGAGGGUGUUGUCGCGUGUCCGACCAGAGAUCCGGCGAAGGUGAACCCUCUUCGCUUGUUCCGAACACGGAGCAGCAAGGAGAAGGAGUGGGUUCUUCUGCCCGAAUAAAGGCAGCUCCAGCGCGCUUUGUUCAUCAUAUAAGAACGCUGGCUCGGCAGAUCGUCUGCCAAUCGCAAGGCGCAUCCAAAGGAAGAGUGAUAAGGAAGAGUUUGCAAAACACAGCUAGGCAAAAUCUAUAAGGCAUCUUAAAACCACCAAUGUAGAACAAUCAGAGCACUGAAAAACUGGAAAACUUUAACUUUCUUUACGGAUUUCUUACUUCUCAAAGCGAAUACAGCGUCUCCAACGCAACCAAAACAUA